CUUCCGCAAGUGUAGGCAGAGCCCCCGGAGCCAUGGCCAGCCCUUCCCGCAGCUCCGAAGCCACUGGCAAGCCCCGAGGCAGGGAUGGCCGGCCCAGGAGGGAGGAGGACGACGUCCCUCCCGAAGAGAAGAGGCUGCGGCUCUUGCUGGAGGGGGGAAGCGCACAGCCCCAGGACGGCGAGGACGGGGAGGACGCGCCGCGGCCGGGCAGGGUGGAGACCGGCACCCAGACAGGUGGCGACGGCAGAGGAAGGGAAAUGGGAAUCGCAUGACCUGAAGGAUGAUGGAGGAACUGAACAGAAACCAUCCUUGUUUCCUGAAUCUGAACAUGGCACCCUCUUUUCACGGUGUCUGUAUCUGCUCAGUCCGGCGGCCCCUCGAAAAGAGGGAAUCUUGAUUUUCAAACUUAAAAUUUGGCCCAAAGCCCACUGCUGCCCACAAUGCCCGUCAGACACAUUCCUCUUCCUUUUUAGUUUCUAUGGGAAUACUCUCUUUGAAGAACCCAUGAAGCAGUGUCAGGCUGGUACGAGGAUCAGCAGUGAUUUCUUUGAGGAGGAGAUCCGUUUCUUCACUCACAGGUCAUGUCUGAGUGGAUCAAGAAGAACAGAGGGCCCUUUUAUGAGAUUUUGUCUGCGUAGACCAUUAGCUUGGUAAAAAUGUCAAAACCAUCCUCAUUCUUUAAUAGCAGAUUAUUUUGGACUUUUCUCUGCCAGAAGCAGCAUGGGCAUUCAGAUGCGUUUAAGGAUAAAAUGAUCUUUCUCAUCACCAGGCCUGGUGCUCUGGAUGGCUGAGGUUUUAAUGUGACUGGAUGUCCCUUGGAGUGGCUCCCAGGCUGUGAUCUUGUGGUCGGGUGCUCCUCCUGGAGGGAGAGAAAAG
rnacentral:lncRNA from 1 species